GAUGAGGAACGCAGCGAAAUGCGAUAAGUAAUGUGAAUUGCAGAAUUCAGUGAAUCAUCGAAUCUUUGAACGCACAUUGCGCCCUUUGGCAUUCCGAAGGGCACACCUGUCCGAGCGCCGUCGCACAACUGAGGCGCAGCCUUGCGUUGGCGGGCGACUUGUGAGUAGCGAGUCGCCGCCCAAACGAGACGGCGCCGCGCCGCGGCCGACGAAGCACGAAAGCGGAAGUCGACGCGGAGGCGGUUGCCUGUAGGAAGACACAGCUUGGCCUCGGAUCAGGUGGGGAUACCCGCUGAACUUAAGCAUAUCAUAAGCGGAGGA
rnacentral:misc_RNA from 1 species